CCUACGGGUGGCAGCAGUGGGGGAUAUUGCACAAUGGGGGGAACCCUGAUGCAGCGACGCCGCGUGGGUGAAGGAGUGCUUCGGCAUGUAAAGCCCUAUCGGCAGGGAAGAAGCAAGACGGUACCUGACUAAGAAUCCCCGGCUAACUACGUGCCAGCAGCAGCGGCAAUCCGGAGGGUGCGAGCGUUAUUCGGAAUCACUGGGGGUAAAGGGAGCGUAGACGGCCAUGCAAGCCAGGGGUGAAAGCCCGGGGCCCAACCCCGGGACUGCCCUUGGAACUGCAUGGCUGGAGUGCGGGAGGGGCAGGCGGAAUUCCUGGUGUAGCGGUGAAAUGCGUAGAGAUCAGGAGGAACACCGGCGGCGAAGGCGGCCUGCUGGACCGCGACUGACGUUGAGGCGCGAAAGCGUGGGGAGCGAACAGGAUUAGAUACCCGGGUAGUC
rnacentral:rRNA from 1 species